rnacentral:lncRNA from 1 species
CAUGGGCUCUCAUGCUACCAUCGACAUGCACCCGAAACUGUGCUGCCUUGGCCAAUAGUAAGCUUCUACCCUAUAGCGAGGGACACAUAUAUAUAUAGGAGAGCGACGUGCAAGCGAUUGAUAUUAGGCCCUUUUGCCGGUCUAACUAAAAUGAAUGGGAAUUACGACUAGGACCUAUGGCUUUCAAAGAAAGGGCACUAAAGCGACGAAUGGGGAAACGAAGAUGAAAA